AGGUUGGCUCAGAAGCAGCCAUCCUUUAAAGAGUGCGUAACAGCUCACUAGUCGAGUGACCCUGCGCCGAAAAUGUACCGGGGCUAAGCCUGAUACCGAAACUGCGGAUUGUAGGAAACUAUAGUGGUAGGGGAGCGUUGUAUACGAGCAGAAGCCGUACCGUGAGGAGCGGUGGAUUGUAUAGAAGUGAGAAUGCCGGUGUGAGUAGCGAGAUGUAGGUGAGAAUCCUACACACCGAAAGCCCAAGGAUUCCAGGGGAAGGUUCGUCCGCCCUGGGUAAGUCGGGACCUAACGCGAGGCCGAAAGGCGUAGUGGAUGGAAAGCAGGCGAAAGAUUCCUGCACCCGUAUAUGGAGCGAAGGAGUGACGGAGACGGAUAGUGUGACCCUCUUAAUGGAUUGAGGGCGAAGCGAAGCGGCUGGUUACCAGGCAAAUCCGGUAACCAAAAGGCUAGAGCGUGACAGGUAAGCGAAAUCUUAGGAAAGUAGCGAAGCACAUGAUGACGGCUUCCAGGAAAAGCUUCUGGCAAUGCAUAUGCGGCCCGUACCAAAACCGACACAGGUGGGCAGGGAGAGAAUCCCGAGGUGAGCGAGAGAACUGUUGCCAAGGAACUCGGCAAAAUGACUCCGUAAGUUAGCGAGAAGGAGUGCUUAAGCAAUUAAGCCGCAGUGAAGAGGCCCAAGCGACUGUUUAACUAAAACACAGCUCUCUGCGAAGUCGCAAGACGAAGUAUAGGGGGUGACACCUGCCCGGUGCUGGAAGGUUAAGAGGAUCUGUUAAGAGCGAUCUGAAGCAGUGAUCCGAAGCCCCAGUGAACGGCGGCCGUAACUAUAACGGUCCUAAGGUAGCGAAAUUCCUUGUCAGGUAAGUUCUGACCCGCACGAAAGGUGUAACGAUUUGGGCGCUGUCUCGGCAGCAGACUCGGUGAAAUCUUAGUACCUGUGAAAAUGCAGGUUACCCGCAACUAGACGGAAAGACCCCAUGGAGCUUUACUGCAGCCUGAUAUUGAAUUCUGGUCAUACAUGUACAGGAUAGGUGGGAGACAAAGAGACGUGCACGCCAGUGUACGAGGAGUCGACGUUGGGAUACCACUCUUGUGUGACCGGGGUUCUAACCUGGUAUCGAGAACAGGUACGGGGAGAGUGUCAGGUGGGCAGUUUGACUGGGGCGGUCGCCUCCCAAAGAGUAACGGAGGCGCCCAAAGGUACGCUCAGAUUGGAUGGAAACCAAUCGUCGAGUGCAAUUGCAGAAGCGUGCUUGACUGUGAGACAGACAAGUCGAACAGGGACGAAAGUCGGGAAUAGUGAUCCGGCGGUGCCGAAUGGAAGGGCCGUCGCUCAACGGAUAAAAGCUACCCUGGGGAUAACAGGCUGAUCUCGCCCAAGAGUUCACAUCGACGGCGAGGUUUGGCACCUCGAUGUCGGCUCAUCGCAUCCUGGAGCUGGAUUCGGUUCCAAGGGUUGGGCUGUCCGCCCAUUAAAGCGGUACGCGAGCUGGGUUCAGAACGUCGUGAGACAGUUCGGUC
rnacentral:rRNA from 1 species